rnacentral:rRNA from 1 species
UACGGAAGGCAGCAGGGGGGAAUAUUGCACAAUGGGCGCAAGCCUGAUGCAGCCAUGCCGCGUGUAUGAAAAAGGCCUUCGGGUUGUAAAGUACUUUCAGUCGUGAGGAAGGUGUUAAGGUUAAUAACCUUAGCAAUUGACGUUAGCGACAGAAGAAGCACCGGCUAACUCCGUGCCAGCAGCCGCGGUAAUACGGAGGGUGCGAGCGUUAAUCGGAAUUACUGGGCGUAAAGGGCACGCAGGCGGUUAAUUAAGUUGGAUGUGAAAUCCCCGGGCUUAACCUGGGAAUGGCAUUCAAGACUGGUUAGCUAGAGUCUUGUAGAGGGGGUAGAAUUCCAUGUGUAGCGGUGAAAUGCGUAGAGAUGUGGAGGAAUACCGGUGGCGAAGGCGGCCCCGUGGACAAAGACUGACGCUCAUGUGCGAAAGCGUGGGGAGCGAAACAGGGAUUAGAUACCC